rnacentral:rRNA from 1 species
AGAUUGAACGCUGGCGGCAUGCCUUACACAUGCAAGUCGAACGGCAGCACGGGAGCAAUCCUGGUGGCGAGUGGCGAACGGGUGAGUAAUAUAUCGGAACGUGCCCAGUCGUGGGGGAUAACGUAGAGAAAUUUACGCUAAUACCGCAUACGAUCCAAGGAUGAAAGCGGGGGACCGUAAGGCCUCGCGCGACUGGAGCGGCUGAUAUCAGAUUAGCUUGUGGUGAGUAAAAGCUCACCAAGGCGACGAUCUGUAGCUGGUUUGAGAGAACGACCAGCCACACUGGACUGAGACACGGCCCAGACUCCUACGGAGGCAGCAGUGGGAAUUUUUGGACAAGUGGGACGAAAGCUAGAUCCAGCCAAUGCCGCGGUGCGAGGAAGAACGGCCGUUCGGUUAGUAAACUGUACGUUUUGGUAACGGUA